rnacentral:rRNA from 1 species
GGACUACAAGGGUUUCUAAUCCUGUUUGCUCCCCACGCUUUCGCGCCUCAGCGUCAGUAUUGGGCCAGUGAGUCGCCUUCGCCACUGGUGUUCCGCCGAAUAUCUACGAAUUUCACCUCUACACUCGGCAUUCCACUCACCUCUCCCAAACUCUAGGCGUCCAGUCUCAAAGGCAGUUCCAGAGUUGAGCUCUGGGAUUUAACCUCUGACUUAGACACCCGCCUACGCGCCCUUUACGCCCAGUAAUUCCGAGCAACGCUAGCCCCCUUCGUAUUACCGCGGCGGCUGGCAC